rnacentral:rRNA from 1 species
UUGAAAGGGAAACGAUUGAAGUCAGUCGUGCUGGCGCGAAAUCAACCCUCCCGUCGAGAGGUCACAUGGCGUGGCGAGCCUCAAAACCGUCACGAAGCGUGAACUCUUGGUGAAAUGGAGCACUUUCGUGUCCGCUGGUUAACAUCAAUUUCGAUCGUCAUAAAAAGGCUGGAGGGAUGUGGCUCCUUCGGGAGUGUUAUAACCUUUAGCGGAAUGUGGUGGUCGGGAUUGAGGAUUGCAACGAAUACCUUUAGGGCUGUUCCACCUGGCUUCUCUUUGGUAUCCUGGUGACGACAGCUUGCUGACGUCGUUAGGAUUCGCCUUUGAACAGGUUAGAGUGUGAGCAAAUUCGUUAAGGAUGUUGACGUA